AUUUGACAUAAUACAGAAGAAAUAGGAAACCCACUAGAUUUCUAAUACUUUGUGGCCAAAGAAUUGUGUUUGCCCAAUUUUUAUUGGCUAUUGAUAUAAUUUUCUCAGUCUUUGAAAGGAAAAGUAUCACUGUGGUAUUUCUAGGUGUUGGACUUCCUUUUGCAUUUGUGUCCAAGAGAAUGUGGUAUAGUUUUCCAACCUACAGAGCUUGCGUGGAAAAACAAAAAUAAAAUGUAAACAAAAUAUUUUACGUAUGCACAUUGAAUUACCCAUUCUAUUGAGCUUGUUUCAUUCGUCAGGAAUAUAUUUGACCCUUAUGACCUGGUCUCUGCUGUCUGUCUUCACUGCGUACUCCUGGUUGCUUGCACUGAGUUCAUCACACCAGGGUUUGGGCAGGGAGGUGAUGCUGUCACUUCCUUGAUGUGACUCCAGCUCUACAGCAGCCAUGUGGAUUUUAAUUCUGCAGCUGAACUUCUGGGUUCCUGGCCCUUUUCCCUUACUCCAGUCAUCUGCCUUUCUAUUUCAUCUUGUCGUCUUAUGGCUUUCUUUUUUUUUGUCUUUUUUAUUUUCUAGGGCUCCACCCGUGGCAUAUGGAGGUUCCUAGGCUAGGAGUCCAAUCGGAGCUACACCCGAGCCACAGCAACGCCAGAUCUGAGCUGAGUCUGCAAUCUACACCACAGCUCAUGGCAGCGCUGGAUCCUUAACCCACCGAGUGAGGCUGGGGAUCGAACCCGCAAUUUCAUGAUUCCUAGUCGGAUUUGUUUCUGCUGCGCUAUGACAGGAACUCCCAUGUUAUCGCUUUUGAAACUUGUCUCCUUAGGCUCCUUCCUUCCUGUUUGAGGAGAGGCUAAUCUUAUAUUCUCUUAAGGAUAUCAAAUAUUGACAAGGAACUUUUUUCCUGGAUCCUGGGGAAGGUUAUCUUCAGAGGUCAGCUCUUCUGAGACUUGGGCAGGAGGAGGUCUAGCUCUAUAAGUGGAUUGACUGGGUUCCUUGUAGGUCUCGUCCCUUUUCCAAAGCAUCUUAAUGAGCAGCCUCCUGCCUAAUGCUUACCCCAGAAGACAUCCAUGGGGCCAACUCUGUGAUGGGGGCGGGCAGAUCGCUUCCUCUUCUCUGUAAAACACAUGCUCUGCCUCAUACGCCGAAUCCAGGGAGUGUAUGAAAAAUCCUAGCUUCCGGCAUUCACUAUUAACAGGUGUGUUGUCUGCUCACCUAUUUUCUCACGUACACCCAUGCCUUGCUGAAGAGUCUGACACCUCUGAAGAUGCAUUUGGGCACUGUCAACCGGCUCUUUGUACCUGCUGAUUAUUUAAAGGGAAUCGUUGUCUCUUUCAAGAUGUAAGAAUAUAGGAUAAGAAACGGUGAACCUGACCUUGGGAGCUAUCUGACCUCACCAUGACUCAGUUUCCUCUUUGGCAAAAUGAUCAUAGAACCUUCCAGAGUACCAUGAAGAGAGGGACUACAGACAGAAGCCUGUCGUAAGCAUCAAUAAAUAUUAGUUACUGUAAGUGGACAUGAGGGAUCAAUAAAUAUUAGUUAUUGUAAGUGGACAUGAGGGAUCCUUGUUGGGGUGAUAAAAAUAGGCUAAAACGGGGUUUAUGGACGUGGCUGCACAAUGGAUAGUAUACACAUGGUAUAGUGUAGGUUGAGUGAAUUGUACAUUUGAAAUGGCCCCUUUGAUCCAUCUCUCUUACAUGCUUUGAUAGUGAAAGAACUGGGGAUCUGAAAACAAGGUUUAGAUGGUUCCUCGUGUGCCCCAAUUUUCCUGCUUCUCAUGCCGUCUCUGCCGCUCUUAGACAUUUGGUUUCACCCCUAACUACUCAGUGUUGGGGGGUCGGCAGGCCUGGAUUCCCUCUGGGCUCUGACAUUCAUCAGCUGGAGACCUGGGGUGCAUUGUCCCCCCUCCUGCCUCAGAUACGCCCUCAGCUGCCAAAAAGGGGGACGCAAGCCCAAGAUCUCGGCUUUCCCUUCUGCUCCUUAAGGACCCGCAUCUUUUCCCACCCUCUCCAGGUUCUCAGAUGGAUGAGAAGCUGCAUAUAAAUGGGAUUUUAUUUACAUGACCCAGUGCCUGUGUUCACAGGUCUUCAGCCAGCCCCGUUUCCUUCCCGUCUCUCAUUUGCCAUAUAAUCGCCAAGAGGAGGGCAUCCUAGGGGAAAAGUCUCAUGUUUUCUAGGUGAGUUUUCCCAGCUGCCAGGUUACAGGGUCAGGAGACAAAGGUGGGGGCAUCGAGUCUGGUUUACUCCAUUUCCAGGCUCUUCUUUCUUCUCUUCUUGACUCCUGGGAUCUCUGAUAGAAAACUUAGGUCAUUUCCUCACCCUGGUAUAGUGUCGGUUGAGAAGACGACAGCAUCUAAUUUAGUUGCAAACUAAUCCAGUAGCUCGUCCAGGAACCCAGCAUUCUAGGGCCAUAUUGCCCAAAGCAUUUCUCCCUUGAUUCUCGCUAGAGGGGCAGGGGCUCUGUUUUCUUUAUCUUAGAAGUGGUCAUAGGGGUUACGGCGACUGCUGAGUGAGCAACCACAGAGCACUAAACAUUUUGCUUAUGCCCAUUCGAAUUCUCAUCGCAAGCCUUCAGGAUGGUAAGAACACCUGUCUCCACCUUCCAGGGGAGGCAUGAGGCUUAAGCACAUGGUUGUAACAGGGCUGAGGUCCAGCUGUUGGCGGGAGAACUGGGAGGUGAGCCGUUGAAUCUGGCUGGUCUGAAGCCUCAGUUCUUUCCAAUAGCCUUGCCCGCUCGCCCUGAUUCCCCACGCCUACCCCCAGCACCAUGAACCAUGCACACCCAUAAUAAGACCCAGUCUGUGAUGAGUGAAGAGAAUGGACCUAGAUGGCUCGUGAACAGCACGGAUCCUGGACCUAUUCUAAGCAAACGGGGUGGGGCGUACCGUUGGGAGAUGGGUCGAAGAACUCCAGACUGGACCAGCUCCUACGGUUGGAGCCCUUGAGUAAGGACCCCGCCUCUUUGAGGCUCUUUUUCCAAAAUGCUAACAUGAGGUGGGGACCCCGGGCCACCGUGCCUUCCAGUGUUAGGCUUCUUCACACGCUUCUUCACUUUCCUUUGUCAAAAAUUCUUCCCCCUGCAUCCUCCUCCCCUGCCCCCACUGUGAGCCCACUUCUUCCCCCUUCUGUGAGAAGCAGCUUUUAUAAAAAGAACUGCAAGCCGUCAGCUGCUUCUGGAAGAGGAGCUAUGUAACAGAUCGAGGUGUGGUGUGAAGCAGUUCCCACGGAGAGAGGGCAACUCACGCAUCCCUAAUGUGUCCGGGAAUUAAAAGGGAAAAUAGUCCAUCGUUUCGUGUCUUCAUAGCUUCUUCUUCUUCUUUUUCUCUGCAUUCUCACAAAUAAAGAACGUACUUUUUUUUUUUUUUUUAAAUGGGGAAGCAUGAGCAAUGACCAGCACACCCUGUAAAGAAAAGCCAAAUUCUCCCUAAAAUAAAAAGGCCUUUGGAGGUGGGAUAAAAGCUAUUCCUACCCCUGUUAUUCUCAGAUGAAAGAGGGGAAUGCAGUUUUUAAGAUCAAAAAUCUAUGUUGUGCACAUAUGCUGGGUAAUAAAGUCUGGGGAAAAUAUCAAACGUGUUAUGGAUGCAUGCAUGUAUUUUUGCUAAUUGAUGUACAAUUUAUUUUUUAUUGUUUAUGUAGUUUACAUAGCAGUGAUCAUUUUUACCUUAAGCGUUUUAGUACAAUUUGAAGCACAGAGAUAAUUAUCGUGGUAUUUAUUUUUUAAUGUAUAUCUCGGUAAUUUAUUUAUUUAGGCCAAAGUCCAAAUGUGAACUAAGACCAGGAUUAGGCAACAGGGAAACAAAGCCGCUAAUGCUGAAUCUCGGUGGGGAAGGAGCACAUUUUCCACCCUGGAGUUUGAAAAUUAACACCUUCAAGAACCAGGAAUCAUUAGCACAUCAAGAAUUAGGGUGAUACCUCUUUUCAGCCCAGUGAAUGAAACAAGUCUUUGUAUUUAUUUUUUUCCAGAAGGCAGCCUUAGCCUGGCUUCCAGAGGCAGGAUUCCGUGGAGGUCAGUGCAAGUUCACCUGUCAAAAAUAGAAGUACUGACCUAUAAAGAAUUUUUUCCAAUGUAAUCUUUUCAGGAUCUGGGAGUAUUCAGAAGAAAUACAACCAGGAACCAGGCGGGAGCAGACACUGCUGGCUGGGGACUGGGGGCGGGGGGGGGCUGUUGAAUCCUCCUCCGUUCCAGGAGCCCCCUAACUUUGGGACUGACACCCCCGCAUCCGGCUACCGAACCCAGGUUGCGACGGGGGCCACUUCCCUCUGGACUCCAAGUCCUCAAAUAAAAAAAGAGAAAACCCCACAGUGUGUCCCCAAUAAUUGAAUCAGUGUAAGAUCUUUCUUCUGCAGAAACCCCAAAUCGUCCUAGAAAACUUAACUCUCCUUAAGUAAACGUCUGUUGAAAACCCCUCCUGGGAAACAGUAGGAAUGGCUAAUUCUCCAUCUGCAUCUAAAGCGUUCUCGGAGGGCGUGGGUGUGCCCCAUAUUAAGAAACAGAAGAUAUGAUUAUUUGUGUUACGGAAGGAUUCGUCCACGGAUGAGCAGUUUCAUUGUAUUCCUUUUAAAAAAUUAUACUUGUGCGUUAUAGACAAAAGUAGAAAACAGAUUUUUUUUUUAAAAAAAAGGAAGUAUAAACUCCCUAUAACCCACCACCCAUAGAUAGAUAAAACCCUGCCAACAUCAUCCCCUGAUAUUUUUUCCCUAGCAUGUACAAUUACAAUGUAUAUAUAUAUAUUUUUUUUAGGGCUGCACCUGCCGGCAUAUACAGAGGUUCCCAGGCUAGGGGUCAAAUCAGAGCUCAGCCACCAGCCUACGCCAGAGCCACAGCAACAUGGAAUCUGAGCCAUGGCUGCAACCCACACCACAGCUCACGGCAAUGCCAGAUCCUCAGCCCACUGAGCAAGGCCAGGGAUUGAACCUGCAACCUCAUGGAUACUAGUCAAAUUCGUUUCCACUGAGCCAGGAAGGGAACUCCUACAAUUACUAGAAUGGAAUCACACUAAAUGUAUUAUUUCAUAGCCUAUUCUUUCACUUCACAUAAUAUUAUGAAUAUCUGUUCAUGUGAAAACGAUAUUUCCCCACCAUCAUUUUUAAUGGCUGUAUGGACUUCCAUUAAAUGGGUUUGUUUAGAUUACUUUCAGUCUUUUUAUUUUGGCUACACCCGUGGCAUAUGGAAGUUCUGAGGCCAGGGAUCAAACACGCACCUCUGUGGGGAGCUGGACUCUUAACCCACUGCACCCGCCCCAGGAACUCCAACUUUCAGUUUUUCACUGUUAUAAAGGCUGCUGUGGUGUAAAUUACUUCAGCUAAAUAUUGACUCUCUCCUCUCUUGGUUUCUUUGGAUCAAUUCACACACUCGGAUUCCUUUUGGAGGGCGUGCACAUCUAAAGCGGCUGUCCUUGCAGCUCAGCUGCCUUCCAGAAGCUUGCGGUUGAAAUGUGCGGUCUGGCAUUUCCACUAAGAAGGAACACAGCUGUGGAAACGUGUGGGGCGCUCUCACGUCUCUGUUUUUCCUGUUGCCAGCGUGUCCUUACCUAUGUGCAGGCAGCCCGCCCGCUGGUCCAGAUAAAUUGAUAGCGGGGAAAUGACAAUAUCACCACUAAUUGGAAAAGCCUUCGGGAGCAAGUUCCGAUUCUUCCAGAGCUGUGUGAUCUUGUCCUCUCUUGCCUUUUUUUUUUUUUUUUUUUAAAUCUGGCAUUUGCUCAAACACACCCUCCUUUUGAGCGGCCCGGCUGACGGGCCAGCUCCCUGGUUCCUGCCACUAUCUGGUGAGGCCGGCACUGUUUCGCACAGUCAUGACAUUAAAGAGAUCCUGCGUGCGAAUUACUCGCAAGGAACUACCGAUGUGUGAGGUCCCCUUGAGGAGACAGUGAUGACAGGGGGUCCCGGAUUUGCGGUGGUCGUGUGGGGGCCUGGGGGGGGGGAGGUCAGAGC
rnacentral:lncRNA from 1 species